rnacentral:rRNA from 1 species
UACGUAGGCAGCGAGCGUUGUUCGGAGUUACUGGGCGUAAAGGGUGUGUAGGCGGCCUGUUAAGUUCCGUGUGAAAUCUCCCGGCUCAACCGGGAGGGUGCGCGGAAUACUGACGGGCUAGAGUGCGGGAUGGGAGAGUAGAAUUCCUGGUGUAGCGGUGAAAUGCGUAGAUAUCAGGAGGAAUACCGGUGGUGUAGACGGCUCUCUGGACCGCAACUGACGCUGAAACACGAAAGCGUGGGUAGCAAACAGG